rnacentral:rRNA from 1 species
AUUGAACGCUGGCGGCGUGCCUAACACAUGCAAGUCGAGCGGUAACAGGUGUAGCAAUACAUGCUGACGAGCGGCGAACGGGUGAGUAAUGCUUCGGAAUCUACCCAAUGGUGGGGAAUAACCAGCCGAAAGGUUGGCUAAUACCGCAUACGUCCCACGGGAGAAAGCAGGGGAUCGCAAGACCUUGCGCCAAUGGAUGAGCCGAAGUCGGAUUAGCUAGUGGUAGGGUAACGGCCUACCAAGGCGACGAUCCGUAGCUGGUCUGAGAGGACGACCAGCCACACUGGGACUGAGACACGGCCCAGACUCCUACGGGAGGCAGCAGUGGGGAAUAUUGGACAAUGGGGGAAACCCUGAUCCAGCGACGCCGCGUGUGUGAAGAAGGCCUGCGGGUUGUAAAGCACUUUUAGUGGGGAUGAAAUGUUCAGGGUUAACACCUCUGGUAUUUUG